GGGGGGGGCGGGGGGGGGGGCGGGGGCGGGCGGGGCGGACGGGGGGGGGGGGCUGGCUCCUCGGGGCGGUGGCGGGCGGGUGGGUGACACGUGAGCAACCGGGCUCUAAGAGGGGGACAACAGUUGGAAACGCCUGCUAAUACCGCAUGACGUAUCGGGCUGGCCUCUUCCUGAUACCCAAGAUUUUAUCGCUUAGAGAUGGGCUCGCGUCUGAUUAGAUAGAUGGCGGGGUAACGGCCCACCAAGUCGACGAUCAGUAGCCGGACUGAGAGGUUGAACGGCCACAUUGGGACUGAGACACGGCCCAGACUCCUACGGGAGGCAGCAGUGGGGGAUAUUGGACAAUGGGGGCAACCCUGAUCCAGCGACGCCGCGUGAGGGAAGAAGGUUUUCGGAUUGUAAACCUCUGUUGACGGAGAAAAAAAUGACGGUAUCCGUUUAGAAAGCCACGGCUAACUACGUG
rnacentral:rRNA from 1 species